CCAGUCUUGACGUUUCAGCUUGUGUGUCUUGUUCAGUGGUGGUCGUCUUUCAGCCUUUCUUACCUUGGCCAUGUCUCUGAGUAUUGCACACCUUGUGCUUUUGGGCACUCCAGUGAUGUUGCAGCUCUGAAAUAUGGCCAAACUGGUGGCAAGUGGCAUCGUGGCAGCUGCACGCCUGACUUUUCUCAGUUCAUGGGCAGUUAUUUUGCGCCUUGGUUUUUCCACACGCUUUUUGCGACCCUGUUGACUAUUUUGAAUGAAACGCUUGAUUGUUCGAUGAUCACGCUUCAGAAGCUUUGCAAUUUUAAGAGUGCUGCAUCCCUCUGCAAGAUAUCUCACUAUUUUU
rnacentral:lncRNA from 1 species